UCCUCGAUGGUCUAACGGUUAUGAUUUCCGCUUGUCACGCGGGAGAACCAGGGGUUCGACUCCCCUGUCGGGGAG
rnacentral:tRNA from 1 species